rnacentral:rRNA from 1 species
CCCUUAGAUGUUCUGGGCCGCACGCGCGCUACACUGAUGCAUGCAACGAGUUCUAUCCUUGGCCGGAAGGCCUGGGUAAUCUGUGAACGUGCAUCGUGAUAGGGAUAGAUUAUUGCAAUUAUUAAUCUUGAACGAGGAAUUCCUAGUAAACGCAAGUCAUCAACUUGCAUUGAUUACGUCCCUGCCCUUUGUACACACCGCCCGUCGCACCUACCGAUUGAAUGGUCCGGUGAAGCCUCCGGAUUGGCGCGCACCUCGGUGCCGCCGAGAAGUUGGCUAAACCUUACCAUUUAGAGGAAGGUGAAGUCGUAACA